GAAGGUGGUUUUGGCUAAGAGGAUACACCUGUUCCCAUCCCGAACACAGAAGUUAAGCUCUUAUGCGCCGAUGGUACUGUUUUGGCAACGGAAUGGCAGAGUAGGUCGCCGCCUUCA
rnacentral:rRNA from 1 species